CCCGGGUCAGUAAACAAAAGAACCCUAGGGUUCUUUCACCUGCAGUGGCCGCCUCCCCCCAUCUUUCCUCUUCCCUUCUCUUUCUUCGUCUCUCUCUCUCUCUCUCCUCGGCCAAAAAUGGCGAUUCCACAGACCCCUUUCGUUCCCACAGACCGUGCAUGGUCGAUUUAGGGAAAAGAAUUUAAUGCUCGACCAGGGUCAACGUUGAAGAGUUUGUCUCCUUUUCUCCCUCUGUUCUUUCGAUCUGAAACGUUUUAAUGGACUUCGUCCAUUUGUGAAUUCAAAUCACGUUCUUCAUUUUUUCAAGUACCGAUUUUAAUGGUUUUAUCCUUUUAUCUGGGUAUUCUGAUCAAGAUAGUCAAAGGCUACAAAAAUCCUAACGUUGAAUCGAAAAAGGCGGGCCCAAUUUUUUUGAAAUUCCAAACCCCCAGCAAACCCUAAUCUGUUCCUAUAAAUAAUCGUCUCUGGGUUCGUUUUGAAACAAGUUUUACAGAUCGGAAAAUCCCCCUAAAAAUUUAAGAACUCUUUUUAGCCGAGAAAUUCCCCUCAAAAUUGAAGCAAGUUUUUUUUCUUUUCAGCCGCAAAAUCCUCUCCAAACAAAGCACAAGUUCAAGCCACCUGAAAAUUCCCUAGAAAGAUUAGUUUAUUUUAGCGGUGGUAGCAUGGUUCGAUAUAAAAAAUAAAAAAAUCUAAAUCAUAUUCUUUGUUUCCGCACUUGGUUCUGUUUGGACUCGAGGACAUACUAACUCGGCGGGUUCGAAGUGAUUCGAGGUAUAUCGAAAGCUCGCGCCUCACUUCGCUGCACCCGAAGAAGAGUCCGAGAGACUCGUUUUCCUCCGCAUUUGGAGUUGGGCUAAAAGCCCAACAUGAUUCCCCUCGUGUCCAGCUCUGUCCGCGCAGCAAAAAAAAAGAGACGGAAUAAAAAAUAUUGGGCCGUGGCCCAUCAACAGCAGCAACUCGCCACAGUGGCCUUAGAAAUGGGCCAAUCCAUUUUUUUUCCUUCUCUACUUUAUUUCAUUGUUGUGUAUUUUGAUUUGCCUUGACUAACCUUUAUCUUAUUUCUUAUGCCUACUUAACUUAGAUAAAUUAUAAUGGGAUUAGUAUGGAACUUAGUUUAGUAUAAUGGAUAGGAUAAUCAACAAUUCCAUAGGACCUAUUUUCUUUUUUUUUUUUGGAAUAUCAAAAUUACUGAUGGCAUCUAUAAUAUUUAUUUUUACAAUUUCCAAAAUGGCAUAAUUAUAUAUUUAAGUUAAAGGGAA